GGAAGGGACUCCCGCGGCCCUAAGGUGCUGGCGGGCGUUUGGCGUUGCAGCUGUGUGGGCGCUGGUGCGUGCGAGUAGCGCUCGAAGAAACCCAAAGGCGUCGUGGGGCUGCCGUGUGCCCCAGAGAGCACUGCAGGCCGGGUAGGGGCUAAGGCUCCCCGCAGUCUUCUGUGUGUCGUCCAGUACGCAGUUGAAAUCGUUCUCCAACCUGGCCAGUCCUCCGAGGCCCUUCUCAGGCGACCAGACUCUGUUAACAGAGUCCAUUGCUAAAACUCCUCGUUAGUAUUUACCACUCCUCCAGUCUGUGUUUUGAAGCAGUGGUUUUCAACCACUGCCCGUUUUCAGAAGAAAUCAUCUCAAGCGUCCGUGUGCUGCUAGAAGCCGGGCCGGGAGGUCUUGGUGCCGGACUCCACCCUGCAGCCCUUCCCUUUCGCCACCGCCCUGUGCUUAGAGAAACCUUAGAGUGGAGCAAUGAGUCGCCCUUGACUGAGUAACUCUUCGGGGUCAACUUCUCCUUCCACGCCAAGGAAAGGAUUCCAGGGCGAUGUUUCUGGAAAUAGAGAUCUGACCAAGCCACUGCUCUGGUGAAAAUUCAGUGGGUCCCUAGCACCUAGUGCAGCGGCUCCUAGCCUGAGUAUUGCCGUCUUUCGGUGGGGAGGGGUUGGGUUUUUUUGUAGCAUCUGUUGAUCUGAUCUCCAACAUCCUCCACGUCAAUUCCCACUCCACCCACAUCCCUUAUCCUAUACGUAAGCUUUCCAGCCACGGUGCUGGCUUGGGUGGGGGUGCGUGCGGUGCUGACACCAAAAUGGAGGUCCCGUGUUUCUGAGAGUCUCUUUCAGAGCAAUGCAAACCUGAAACUACUCCUGCCAAGAAACGAUUGCAGCUCUUCCCGGAAAAGUUAAAGCCUUUGAGAAACAAAGCUGAGAUUUGGGAUUAAGCCUUAUUUUGCAUUGGGUUUAAUCUCAACAGACACCGAGGGGCACCUGGAGUCCCUGCAAAACCUUGUCUGGUAUCAGCUACCUAUCAGAGGAUGCAGAGGACAAGGGCCUAGGGGAUGCCAAAUUCCAGGGUCCAGAAAGAGCUUGGGAUAAAAUGAACAUCCAAGGGGAGGGCUUUGACCUGGGCUGAGUCUGCCUGUGCCGAGUCUGCCUGUGCCAUCCAACUGGAGUCUCAAGUCCUGAGGCAGGACGUCCAGAUGCCCCAGUGCAGGGUCCUCCUGAUCAACACCUGCUCCCCUGUACUCAUUAGCAACCUCACCCACCCUACUCUCAAAGCACACUUGGCUCUCAUAUCCAGGAGCUCUGCAUCUGUAGAUUCAGCAACAGCAGAUGGAAAAUAUUCAGAAAAUAAAUUGGACAGUUAUAUUUCUA
rnacentral:lncRNA from 1 species